AUGAUGGAGGCGACCUUGAGUGCAAUGGCCGCGCUCUGCUCUUCUGCGUUGGUGGUGGAGGCGGGGGCUAGCGCAAUUGAUGCACUAUGCUCUUCAGCGUUGGUGGUGGAUGCGAUGGCGAUGAAUGCAAUGGCUUACCUCUACUCUUCAACACCGGUGGCGGAGGCGGCGUUAAGUGCAAUGACCGCACUUUGCUCUUCUUUGUUGGUGGUGGGGGCGGCGGCGAGUGCGGUGCCUGCCCUCUACUCUUCUUUGUUGGUGGUGGGGGCGGCGGCGAGUACAAUGGCCGCUCUCGGUUCUUCUGUGCUGGUGGUGGAGUCAGUGGUAACAAUGCUCGACAUAAAGAAACAUUAUUUGAUGAAGCAACAACAAUCUGCAUUCGGGUCUACUGUGCUAAAUGGGUACUACAAGAUUAAGAAUAUGAAAACUUAA
rnacentral:rRNA from 1 species